CCCCCCGCCCCCGCAGCCCACAGCUCCGCCCUUCCUCUCCUCCUAUCCUCCCAAUAAGGAAGCCGGGGCGCGGGAACUGGCUGGACCCGCCCAGGCGAACUCGGGGUCCCCGGGGCAUCGGGGAUGGCGCCCGGCCUGCGCCUGUCGCCCCCCCCCCCACGCCAAGGUCAAGGUCAAGGUCAAGAUGCAGAUUUAUUUCUGUUUGCGGUUGGUAGAAUCCUCGCAUGUGAAACUCGCAGGUACUGGGGCCCGCUGGACACUUGGACCUCGCACUGUGGUCCUGGCAGCAGUGAACAACAGUGAAUUAGCGCAAGAAACAACGUAGAGAAGGAGCGAAGAUCUAGGAACCUAAACAGGGCAGAGUUUAGGAGCCCAGAGCUCAGAAGCCUCCAGAAACCGCUGCUUCCCUAGGGUGGAAGAACGAUGGAGACCACUGCGAGAGGAAGAAGGAUGGAGGUAACACCAGCCAGCAGCAGACAGGGCUGAGGAUGCCCGGAGGCUCCCUUCCUCCUCGCUGGCUCCGGUCAUGGCCUCCCAUUGGCCGGCCUUACCGGAAUUGGUUGCAAGGCAGCCUGGGAAAUGUAGUCCCGAGCCCGGCUGCAGUGUGGCAAAGCAAGGAGCAGAGUGAUGCCAACAGGAAAUGCCAGCCAGGCUCGCUACGGUGGGGCGCGGUGGGGAUGGGACGCCCCGCCCUACCCGAAGGUGUCAGCUCACGUCUUGGUCUGAUCUGCACAGCAAUGGAGGGAGAGCAACAAGGGGAAGACUCUGCCACCCUUUCCCAGCAGGAGGAGACAGCAGGACAAUGACCUAUGCUCUGGGCCCCACCCUUGACCUUCCUGGCGCACCGUUCUCGGUGGCCCUACCAUCUGAGCUGGAACUCAGACUCCCUGUUAGCAAGAGCAAAGCUCCCGCCCCGUGGGGAGGAGACAGUCACGCCGCAGCUGCAGGUCCCGGUCCCACGCCCUUCCACCAUGCCGCCCUGUUGUGUGCGUCACUCGUCACUCGCUCCAUGCUUUUCCCAGCCCCCAAAGACAGGCGCCGAGGGUAUUCCCAGAAAACCCAGAAAAAAUUACAGCCAAAAAAAACGUGCCGCAGGUGUCCCCCUGUAACCGAAUCAAGUCAAAGUCCUGAAACAGAGAACUGAGAACCUCCCAGAAGGUCUGGGUGUGCGGCUUAUCUGCUUCAGGCUAAAUUAGACCUGCAGGCCCCCAUCAUUUCCCUAAGUGAUGUAGAUCUUUAAAAAACAAGCUUCUGUAUGUUUGCUAUGUACAAAAUCAUACAGCAUCACUGUACCUGCUUUCAUUUAAUAAUUCCCAGAAUUCAAUAUUGUAAGAGUUUCAUGUGGCAUUGUAUUUCAGAGGAAGAAAUGGAGGAUCAGAGAGGUAGGGCAACCUACCCUGGGACACAAAGCUUGUCAAUGAGCUAUUCCCCCCACGAUGGAGGAACCAAUGUCAGGUGUGCAUGCUCAUGGUGUCUGAAUAACCCCGGUAUCGUCCAAGCCACCGUCCAUGUCAUCACAAUGGGCAGUUGUCACGAGACAGAGUCAGAACACACCCACAGGGGUAAAGUGGAAGGGCAGAUGUCUGUCUGGCUCCCCCUGCCUUUCUUAGUGAAAAUGUCACAUCAUGAAGGGUCUGCAGAGCUCUCCAGCCCAGCCCCAGGUCACAUGCAAUCCUGGAGGAGCCAGGUGACUUGGCCAAGGCCACACAGCUGGUGAGGUGGAACCCACCCCAGCCCAGGUACAGCUGCAAGCCUGUUUCUUAGCCUGUUUCCUCUCUGCCCAUGUCUGCCACAGAGUUUCAGUGGUUCAAACCCAGAGGGCCAGGUGGGGAGGGUUUAGUUUUCACAUCUUCACAGGCUACUGGCUCAAUUUUUACUCUUGAACUAAAAGUGGAAAAUUAUUGUUUGCUUUAAGACAUGGCUAUCUCUCUUCCCACCUCAAAUGCAUUAGCACCUUGCUGUCCCACCAAAAAAUAAAAUAAUUAUUCUACCAGUCAAGAAAAAGAGGUAGCUGUGUUUCCUGCUCCUGGAUGGAUGAUUCCAAGAACAGGCAAUGAUAUCUUCAUGGACCAAUAGGAAAGGGGUAGCCCCACCCCAGCCUGGCUCCAUGGCACAGGCAAAGGUGGGGGAUGCCUGCUCGGUCCCCAGCUGCACUCCAGGGCCCCAAGUUCCAUCCUUCCACAGGGAGCUGCACCCU
ensembl:lncRNA